AUCCGGAUUUACUGGGUGUAAAGGGAGCGUAGACGGACUGGCAAGUCUGAUGUGAAAGGCGGGGGCUCAACCCCUGGACUGCAUUGGAAACUGUUAGUCUUGAGUGCCGGAGAGGUAAGCGGAAUUCCUAGUGUAGCGGUGAAAUGCUUAGAUAUCACGAAGAACUCCGAUUGCGAAGGCAGCUCACGGGAGCGCAACUGACGCUGAAGCUCGAAAGUGCGGGUAUCGAACAGGAUUAGAUACCCUGGUAGUCCGCACGGUAAACGAUGGAUGCCCGCUGUUGGCCUGAAUAGGUCAGCGGCCAAGCGAAAGCAUUAAGCAUCCCACCUGGGGAGUACGCCGGCAACGGUGAAACUCAAAGGAAUUGACGGGGGCCCGCACAAGCGGAGGAACAUGUGGUUUAAUUCGAUGAUACGCGAGGAACCUUACCCGGGCUUGAAUUGCAGAGGAAGGAUUUGGAGACAAUGACGCCCUUCGGGGUCUCUGUGAAGGUGCUGCAUGGUUGUCGUCAGCUCGUGCCGUGAGGUGUCGGCUUAAGUGCCAUAACGAGCGCAACCCCUCUCCUCAGUUGCCAUCAGGUCAAGCUGGGCACUCUGGGGACACUGCCACCGUAAGGUGUGAGGAAGGUGGGGAUGACGUCAAAUCAGCACGGCCCUUACGUCCGGGGCUACACACGUGUUACAAUGGCAGGUACAGAGAGACGGUCGUUCGCAAGUACGAUCAAAUCCUUAAAGCCUGUCUCAGUUCGGACUGGGGUCUGCAACCCGACCCCACGAAGCUGGAUUCGCUAGU
rnacentral:rRNA from 1 species